rnacentral:rRNA from 1 species
GAUGAACGCUGGCGGCGUGCCUAAUACAUGCAAGUCGAGCGAACGGACGAGAAGCUUGCUUCUCUGAUGUUAGCGGCGGACGGGUGAGUAACACGUGGAUAACCUACCUAUAAGACUGGGAUAACUUCGGGAAACCGGAGCUAAUAUCGGAUAAUAUUUUGAACCGCAUGGUUCAAAAGUGAAAGACGGUCUUGCUGUCACUUAUAGAUGGAUCCGCGCUGCAUUAGCUAGUUGGUAAGGUAACGGCUUACCAAGGCAACGAUGCAUAGCCGACCUGAGAGGGUGAUCGGCCACACUGGAACUGAGACACGGUCCAGACUCCUACGGGAGGCAGCAGUAGGGAAUCUUCCGCAAUGGGCGAAAGCCUGACGGAGCAACGCCGCGUGAGUGAUGAAGGUCUUCGGAUCGUAAAACUCUGUUAUUAGGGAAGAACAUAUGUGUAAGUAACUGUGCACAUCUUGACGGUACCUAAUCAGAAAGCCACGGCUAACUACGUGCCAGCAGCCGCGGUAAUACGUAGGUGGCAAGCGUUAUCCGGAAUUAUUGGGCGUAAAGCGCGCGUAGGCGGUUUUUUAGUCUGAUGUGAAAGCCCACGGCUCAACCGUGGAGGGUCAUUGGAAACUGGAAAACUUGAGUGCAGAAGAGGAAAGUGGAAUUCCAUGUGUAGCGGUGAAAUGCGCAGAGAUAUGGAGGAACACCAGUGGCGAAGGCGACUUUCUGGUCUGUAACUGACGCUGAUGUGCGAAAGCGUGGGGAUCAAACAGGAUUAGAUACCCUGGUAGUCCACGCCGUAAACGAUGAGUGCUAAGUGUUAGGGGGUUUCCGCCCCUUAGUGCUGCAGCUAACGCAUUAAGCACUCCGCCUGGGGAGUACGACCGCAAGGUUGAAACUCAAAGGAAUUGACGGGGACCCGCACAAGCGGUGGAGCAUGUGGUUUAAUUCGAAGCAACGCGAAGAGCCUUACCAAAUCUUGACAUCCUUUGACAACUCUAGAGAUAGAGCCUUCCCCUUCGGGGGGGGCAAAGUGACAGGUGGUGCAUGGUUGUCGUCAGCUCGUGUCGUGAGAUGUUGGGUUAAGUCCCGCAACGAGCGCAACCCUUAAGCUUAGUUGCCAUCAUUAAGUUGGGCACUCUAAGUUGACUGCCGGUGACAAACCGGAGGAAGGUGGGGAUGACGUCAAAUCAUCAUGCCCCUUAUGAUUUGGGCUACACACGUGCUACAAUGGACAAUACAAAGGGCAGCGAAACCGCGAGGUCAAGCAAAUCCCAUAAAGUUGUUCUCAGUUCGGAUUGUGGUCUGCAACUCGACUACAUGAAGCUGGAAUCGCUAGUAAUCGUAGAUCAGCAUGCUACGGUGAAUACGUUCCCGGGUCU